AGUGAACGCUGGCGGUAGGCCUAACACAUGCAAGUCGAACGGCAGCACAGUAAGAGCUUGCUCUUACGGGUGGCGAGUGGCGGACGGGUGAGGAAUACAUCGGAAUCUACUCUUUCGUGGGGGAUCACGUAGGGAAACUUACGCUAAUACCGCAUACGCCCUACGGGUGAAAGCAGGGGAUCUUCGGACCUUUCGCGAUUGAAUGAGCCGAUGUCGGAUUAGCUAGUUGGCGGGGUAAAGGCCCACCAAGGCGACGAUCCGUAGCUGGUCUGAGAGGAGGAUCAGCCACACUGGAACUGAGACACGGUCCAGACUCCUACGGGAGGCAGCAGUGGGGAAUAUUGGACAAUGGGCGCAAGCCUGAUCCAGCCAUACCGCGUGGGUGAAGAAGGCCUUCGGGUUGUAAAGCCCUUUUGUUGGGAAAGAAAAGCAGCAGGUUAAUACCCCGCUGUUCUGACGGUACCCAAAGAAUAAGCACCGGCUAACUUCGUG
rnacentral:rRNA from 1 species